rnacentral:rRNA from 1 species
AGAAUCAACGCUGGCGGCGCGCUUAACACAUGCAAGUCGCACGAGAAAGUGGAGCAAUCCAUGAGUAAAGUGGCGUACGGGUGAGUAACACGUGGAUCAUCUACCUUUUAGUGGGGAAUAACCUCCGGGAAACUGGAGACAAUACCGCAUAAGCCCGUGUAGAGGAAAGCCGAAAGGCGCUGAAAGAGGAGUCCGCGGCUGAUUAGCUAGUUGGCGGGGUAACGGCCCACCAAGGCGAAGAUCGGUA